GAGCCAUACAGCUCCAGAUGUGGGUCUGCUUUCUGAAAGACUAUUUUUGUUGUUGUUGUUGUUCACAUACACUUAAGGAGGGGCACAGCCUUCUGAGCCUCUGAGGAGAGUUCUCUGAAGAAUCAAAGGGCACAUAGCCAUUGGCAGCAAAGGUUUUUUGACUGACGGAUCUCUGCUCCUGGACAGACAGAACCAAAAUACACUCUGAACGACAACAGUAAGCACAAUCUCCAUAAAAAACCAAAGGAAGAAAUCUUAAGUCAGCCCCAAACUCCAGCCUCCUUUGUAGCCGGGACAUAGGCAUUUCAAUUGUACCCACACCAGACUGAGUUGGGCGCCAGUGAAGGAAGAAGGAGCCUCUCGUUGAGC
rnacentral:lncRNA from 1 species